GUCCUCAACAAACAUCCGUCGAACGAAAGAGCAAAAGAGGAACUGCGUACUUUACUUUCCUCCUCCCCAUUUCAAACGCCGUCCGAGAAGACCCAGCGGGGUUACAACCCGGGCUUGAACUGUGCAGCAGGCGUUCAGCCCCGCGAUUGGCUGGAGUAUCUGCCGUUGCCCCUGGCAACCACUGUUUCCCACCAGUCGUGUCUCUCCGCCCCCGCCUGGCCCCGCCCCUUUUGGUCCCGCCCCCGGGCCGCCGCGGUUCGGCCCCGCAGUGAAAAUCUGCGCUUGCCCUUUAAGCGGCGGGACUUCUGGUCAACGUCUUCUACAGCCGCCGGAAGGGGAAGUUUCGCCUUCGAACGCUCCCUCGCUCGUCCGAAUUCGGUGGCGCCACGUCCGCCCUUCUCCGCCUUCUUAGCCGCGGCUUGGGCGGCUUCCGCCUCGACACCUUCCACUCGCGGAGCGGGCCCUGUCGUGAGGGGCCGAGUACGGGGAGUCGGGCGGCUGUGCGCACCCUGGCCACUUAAAAGGCGAAGAUGUCGGACAUCGGGGACUGGUUCAGGAGCAUCCCGGCCAUCACGCGCUAUUGGUUCGCCGCCACUGUCGCGGUGCCCUUGGUCGGCAAACUCGGUCUCAUCAGCCCGGCCUACUUCUUCCUCUGGCCCGAAGCCUUCCUCUAUCGCUUCCAGGUUUGGAGGCCAAUCACUGCCACCUUUUAUUUCCCUGUGGGUCCAGGAACUGGAUUUCUUUAUUUGGUCAAUUUAUAUUUCUUAUAUCAGUAUUCUACACGACUUGAAACAGGAGCUUUUGAUGGGAGGCCGGCAGACUAUUUAUUCAUGCUCCUCUUUAACUGGAUUUGCAUCGUGGUAUCCUUUAGUCUGUUAUUUGGGGCCAGAAAUAAACUAUUAUUUUCAGGUUUGGGGAAGUAGACCGUGUUUUAUACAACAGUUCAAAUUAUAG
rnacentral:lncRNA from 1 species